rfam:TPA: Bos taurus chromosome 7, whole genome shotgun sequence.
UCCCUUGUGGCUCAGCUGGUAAAGAAUCUGCUUGCAAUGCAGGAGACCUGGGUUCGAUCCCUGGAUUGGGAA